rnacentral:lncRNA from 10 species
UAGCCACCCCAGGGAGCACCAGGUGACCAGGCGAGGUGCCUGCCAGGCGCAUUGUGUUCAUUGCUUUUUUUUUUUUUUUUUUUUUUUGAGACAGAGUCUUGCUCUUUCGCCCAGGCCGGAGUGUAGUGGCGCUAUCUCGGCUCACUGCAAGCUCCGCCUCCCGGGUUCACGCCAUUCUCCUGCCUCCGGCUUCCAAGUAGCUGGGAAUACAGGCGCCCGCCACCACGCCCGGCUAAUAUUUUUGUAUUUUUAGUAUAGACAGGGUUUCACCGUGUUAGCCAGGAUGGUCUUGAUCUCCUGACCUCGUGAUCCGCCCGCCUCGGCCUCCGAAAGCGCUGGGAUUACAGGCGUGAGCCACCGCGCCCGGCCAUUGCUUUCUUGCAGCAACUGGGGAUUGUUGAUUCGGGACCCCUAGUCGGAGGGUGAUUUACACGUCAGUUGCAGCGCGUUGGUCAAUGUUCCAGGCUGUCAGCUCGGCACCGCCCUCAGGGCUCAAGCUACACAGGGCAUUGAAAGGAAUUCUGUCAUUACAGCCCCAGGAAAAUGGAAGAAGAGGAAAAUGAAAAAAGACAAAAGGGAUAUGAUGCUGGGCAAAAUCCCACCAAAAUCAGACGUAGGAAGGAAUCCAGCCCUUUUGCCCAGUAGAAUUAUGGGGGAAAAGGAGAAGCAAAUGGCGAGACACUUGAAUUCCAAGCUCUCCUCUUGAAGUGGAAGCCGUAGAGAAAGGAGGCAUGUUAGGUUGAAGAAAGAUGGUGAGGUUCCCAGAGACUAGCCACUUCAGGAAGCUCUUCUUACCCUUCGGGAUAAAGGGAGCAGAGAAGGAAAAAGCAGAGUCCAUGGAAUCAUGGGGACACACAGCAAUGCCAGAGACUUCUUGCCAAAGCAAGGAGCGAGCAGGGAAGAAAAGCUCCCACCUCUCACCUUCCAAACCUCAGGCUCCUGCUGGUGUCUCCCAUUAACCAAAACCACAGACACCAACCAGCAAGAAAGCCAGGGACCUAGAGUCAGUAGGGGUAAAUAGAGCCUUUCAGGACACGGAGAAGGGCAGGCAAAGGCACAGAUGGGUGUAGCCAGGGGCAGCAAGGGGAGAAUAACCAGGCACCUCCUUCCAUUCCAGCAUGAGGGCCUGGAAGCCCCUCUUUCUUGCACAUGCACAUGCCAUGCUGGGGAGCGGCAAUGGGAGUUCCGAAAUACUGAACAUUUAUCUAGAGACUGAGUCACUUAAAGCAACUGCUGAAAUUAUUGAAACAGACUGUUUUCUAAUCUAGACUAAAAUAUACUAUAUUUUUCUCUCUAUCCAUCAGUCCAUUGUAAUGAAAAUUUAAUCAAUUACUUAAAGCAAUAAAAGAAACUACAUUUUUAUUGUACAACUUACUGAAGUGUGAGGAAAUGGGUGGAUCCUUCCCACUUUGUAUCCUCUCUACCGUUCUCUACUUCCAAGGUAACUGAGGUGACUUAACAAUGAAACAAGUCAGAAAUGUCCUGAUAGAGACCAAAGGAAGACAAUAUUUCAGACUCCUCUGGCCAUAUUGAGCAUGUCACAGUGAACAUCUGAGAUAACGAUUUGCUAGGCAAUGUGCAAUUCUCGCUCCUUUUUUUAAUAUCAGAGAAGAAAGAGUUCUUUAUAAUAAUUUGGCUCAAAUGUCUACACACAUUGCUCCAGCGUCUGUAGCAGCAUGUGUUUCUAGGAUUGUUCUGGAAGAGAAAAUGCAGAAACAGCAGGGAGCAGAAGAUAAACAGGCAAUCCGUGACUCAUUAAAACAAGCAUUGGUCGCCAACAUUGUGGAGUGUGUGAAGACCCCAGAUCCAACUCGCCUAUAAACUUUUUUUUACCAGCUGGACUUAGCAUCUGCCAGAGUUUGGAAAGAGAGAUAAUCUGGUACAAAUGAUUUCAGUGUGUCGCAUUUAUUAACCUGCCACCUUACAUAACUCUGCUGAUUGGGAACUCAGGGAAAUGUUUGAGCAAUGACACAGCUUAUUGUUGGAAUGUUACAACUUUACUAAUAAAGAUGCAAGUUACUGUUUAAAAAAAAAUACAAAGACCACAGAGCAAUUGGAAAAUAAAAAUGAAGCAAAGCUAAAAAGCAUCAUGGUCUUGAGAAAUGUACGUGCCAGAAAAAUAAUUGAAAUUCAGUUUGAAUUUUGAUCAUUUUCAGUGCUUUACAUCAAUUAGGCAGGAAAAGUAUUUUAUUUUUAAAUAGUUGUCACAUUAGUUUGUCUUAACAGCUUUGAUGUAAAUAAAUGCCAAACUGGGAGCAUUAUCAUGUCCUUUCCAAACUACUUACUGUUCUAAAUGAAUGAUUCGCUUCUGUUGUUAAAUCUCUGACAAUUGCUAGAAGGGCAUUUUCACAGUAGAACUGAAGGAAAAGUAAAAUAGUGCCCAUUUUUGUUUAUAUACAAAACCGUGUCCAUUUUUGUCUUAAACAGCCUGCCUGGCUUCACAGUUUAUUAAAGACAAAGAACAUUACCCCAGGAAUAAAAUCAGUACCGAUAACCUGCAUACUUUUCAUUCUUGGGCUUUGAUUUACUUCCUUUUUUGCCUCAAAGUUUGCUUGGGAUCAUUUGGUCAAGAGGUGGAAACACCAAAGAGCAAUUUUCUUUUUUCUAUUUCUUAUCCAGAUCUCAUGCCAGUAAUUUCAAAUUAAUGAGGAUGUUUACUCUCUGGUACAAAAUUUGCACAUACUAGCUUAUAAAAUAUGGAUAAGCUGGUUUCCUAUAACAAAAUAUAGCCCUACCAUUUCAAAAAUGAAAACUGCAGAGACUUUGGAAAAAAAUCAGCUGAAGGAAUUCUUCACGUUUCACAAUGGUUAGCCUAUUAUUUGUAGUUUUGAAACUUUAUUGGUCCCCAAUCUAAUCUUUUCUGAGUAUAAAAACAUUAACAUAUGGUUUAACACAGCACAGGGCUGGAAAGUCCAUAUCCCAAAUGCAUAUUGUAUGCAGGGUGACAUUCACACUAAAUACCAUCCCUCAGGGUCUGUACUCCAUUUUACCUGGGAUUGGAGAGCCAUGAAAUCCCUGGAAAAGUUGUUCAUGAGUCUGAACCAAAUGGUGUGCAGUGUACUGAGAUACUAACAGUCUAUGCUUCUGCCAAAGGUUGCGGCUCAAAUGUCUCUCUAAGUAACAUUAAAAAUCUGCUGCUUCAUGCCUAUGAAUUUCAAUAUUUAUAGCAUUCAAUAAAACGGUCCACUGUCAGAGAGAGAUGUGCCACUGUGCACUCUCUGAGCAGAUGGGCGGCAAUAUGGCACAUUUACAUGGACCAGCUGUGGAGCGCAGAAAUGGAUGCUGGUCAGGGGCAAGGUGCAGGCCCCACAUCUGGAAUUCUAACCGACUGGCCUCGGUACCCAUUGUAAACUUUCCUUCCACAGGGUGAGCUCUGAUUUAGAGCUGCUCACUAGUGUGCCUUAAACUGCAUCAAGAGUCCUCAUUAACGCAAGAGACUAGAGGGAGGUUAGGGCCUGGAAUCCCUCUGUCGGGCAUCUGUUAGAGUCUGUGGAUGGCACUCUGUAGUCGUUAUAGAUGCACCCAGGGGAAGAUUCUCUCAGGCAUGAUGCAGUGUUCUCUAUUUAACUGAUUUUAUACCCCCAAAAAAGAGGUUUUUAUUAUAAACAGAGCUACUUUUUCCAUAUCCCCUUUUCUAAAUGGAUCAGAAUAUACCUCAGAGAAAGGACAAUUUCUAGAAUAUUUAAAAAUUUCGUAGAAAUGUCGAAUUCUUUUUUCAAGUCUCAAAUGGAACGUUGUCUUAUUUUGGGUAGAAUCAGAAUGGUUCAAAUGCAGUUAGAAGUUUCUAAAAUAUAUGAAAUUCUUAGACUAGCUGUUUUCAUUGUAGUAUCACUAUUCAGACAAUCAAAACAGCUUAGUUGUGUGUCAUUUAAAUAAUUCAACUGACUUGAUAGAAAGGUAAGCUGCUUUUGACAUUUUAAAUAUGAACAAGAAAUGGUUUGUUACAUUCAAAUACUCAUCAGAAAUAACAUUCCUGUUUCAUUUUCAAUAAAUACUUUUAAGAGAAAGUUCUACUCAUUCUUUCAUUUUGUAAAAUAAUCUUUCCCACAUUUUCCAAUUAUUGACUAAGAUGUAUUUGGUCUUCAGUGGUCCCAUCUCUUGAAUAGUUGUUUAUAUCCUUACGUUACUGAGUAUUCAUUUUCUAUGACAAUCUCUCAAGAUCUAUUCCAGUCUCCUUUCACCCCCAAGAGAAACGCAGGUAUUUUAAGCAAGUGAGACAAUACAACUCGUUAUCAAAUGGGUUAUGGUAACUCAAUCAUGUAAUGUAUGGAUAUUUUAGGGUCUCAUCAUUCAACACUCAACUUUAAAACUACUCUGAAAUCUAAACAUAGAUAUGUAUUUAUGCUAUUUGGCCUCAAUCUUCAAAAAGGAAAAUUUUGGCCAGGCGCGUUGGCUCACGCCUGUAAUUCCAGCACUUUGAGAGGCCGAGGGGGGCAGAUCACCUGAGGUCAGGAGUUCGAGACCAGCCUGGCCAACACGGAGAAACCCCAUCUCUACCAAAAGUACAAAACUAGCCAGGCGUGGUGGCACGUGCCUGUAAUUCCAGCCACGCAGGAGGCUGAGGCAGGAGAAUAGCUUGAA